UAAUACGUAGGGUGCAAGCGUUGUUCGGAAUCAUUGGGCGUAAAGCGCGUGUAGGCGGUUAGGUAAGUCAAUUGUGAAAUCCCUGGGCUCAACCGAGGAAGUGCAGUCGAAACUACCUGGCUAGAAGGUGGUAGAGGGAGGUGGAAUUCCAAGUGUAGAGGUGAAAUUCGUAGAUAUUUGGAGGAAUACCGGCGGCGAAGGCGGCCUCCUGGACCAUUCUUGACGCUGAGACGCGAAAGCGUGGGUAGCAAACAGGAUUAGAUACCCUGGUAGUCCACGCCGUAAACGAUGGGUACUAGAUGUUGCGGGAAUUGACCCCUGCAGUGUCGACGCUAACGCAUUAAGUACCCCGCCUGGGAAGUACGGCCGCAAGGUUA
rnacentral:rRNA from 1 species